CAUACUAGCUUGAAUACAUUGAUCCCAUUUGAUUUCAGAAGCUGAGUAGGGUCUGUCCUGGUUAUUACUUGCAUGGGAAACCGACAUGAAACAUACAGGAU
rnacentral:rRNA from 1 species